AGACCGAUAGCGAACAAGUAGAGUGAUCGAAAGAUGAAAAGCACUUUGAAAAGAGGGUUAAAUAGCACGUGAAAUUGUUGAAAGGGAAGGAUUUAUGACCAGACUUUUUCUAGGGGGAUCAUCCGGUGUUCUCACCGGUGCACUUCCCCUAGUUGAGGCCAGCAUCGGUUUCUGUCGGGGGAUAAAAGCUUUAGGAAUGUGGCUCCCUCCGGGGAGUGUUAUAGCCUGUUGCAUAAUACCCUGACGGGGACCGAGGUUCGCGCAUUGCAAGGAUGCUGGCGUAAUGGUUAUUAAUCACCCGUCUUGAAACACGGACCAAG
rnacentral:rRNA from 2 species